rnacentral:rRNA from 1 species
UACGGAGGGUGCGAGCGUUGUCCGGAAUCACUGGGCGUAAAGGGCGCGUAGGCGGCUCAUGAAGGCUGUGGUGAAAGUCCGGGGCUCAACCUCGGAUCGGCCGUGGCGACUCGUGGGCUGGAGCACUGUAGAGGCGGGUGGAAUUCCGGGUGUAGCUGUGGAAUGCGUAGAGAUCCGGAAGAACACCAGUGGCGAAGGCGGCCCGCUGGGCAGUGGCUGACGCUGAAGCGCGACAGCGUGGGGAGCAAACAGG